GUCCACGCAGUAAACGAUGAUAACUAGUUGUUCGGGCACUUGGUGCCUGAGUGACGCAGCUAACGCAUUAAGUUAUCCGCCUGGGGAGUACGGUAGCAAGAUUAAAACUCAAAGGAAUUGACGGGGGCCUGCACAAGCGGUGGAGCAUGUGGUUUAAUUCGAAGCAACGCGCAGAACCUUACCAGCGUUUGACAUCCCGCGCUAUCCUGAGAGAUCAGGAGUUCCCUUCGGGGACGCGGUGACAGGUGCUGCAUGGCUGUCGU
rnacentral:rRNA from 1 species